rnacentral:rRNA from 1 species
AAAUUGAAGAGUUUGAUCAUGGCUCAGAUUGAACGCUGGCGGCAGGCCUAACACAUGCAAGUCGAACGGUAACAGGAAACAGCUUGCUGUUUCGCUGACGAGUGGCGGACGGGUGAGUAAUGUCUGGGAAACUGCCUGAUGGAGGGGGAUAACUACUGGAAACGGUAGCUAAUACCGCAUAACGUCGCAAGACCAAAGAGGGGGACCUUCGGGCCUCUUGCCAUCGGAUGUGCCCAGAUGGGAUUAGCUAGUAGGUGGGGUAACGGCUCACCUAGGCGACGAUCCCUAGCUGGUCUGAGAGGAUGACCAGCCACACUGGAACUGAGACACGGUCCAGACUCCUACGGGAGGCAGCAGUGGGGAAUAUUGCACAAUGGGCGCAAGCCUGAUGCAGCCAUG